UACAGAGGAUGCAAGCGUUAUCCGGAAUGAUUGGGCGUAAAGCGUCUGUAGGUGGCUUUUUAAGUCCGCCGUCAAAUCCCAGGGCUCAACUCUGGACAGGCGGUGGAAACUACCAAGCUGGAGUACGGUAGGGGCAGAGGGAAUUUCCGGUGGAGCGGUGAAAUGCGUAGAGAUCGGGAGGAACACCUGUGGCGAAGGCGGCCCCCUGGGCCGGCCCUGACACUGAGACGCGAAGGCGUGGGGAGCGAACGGG
rnacentral:rRNA from 1 species